rnacentral:rRNA from 1 species
GGGUCCGCACAAGCGGUGGAGCAUGUGGUUUAAUUCGAUAAUACGCGAGGAACCUUACCUAGGCUAGAAUGCGAGUGACAUCCAGAGAGAUCUGGAGUUCUUCGGACACAAAGCAAGGUGCUGCAUGGUUGUCGUCAGCUCGUGCCGUGAGGUGUUGGGUUAAGUCCCGCAACGAGCGCAACCCCUGUUUUUAGUUGCCAGCAAGUAAUGUUGGGGACUCUAGAAAGACUGCCUGCGUAAGCAGAGAGGAAGGAGGGGACGACGUCAAAUCAGCAUGGCCCUUAUGCCUAGGGCUACACACGUGCUACAAUGGCGUAUACAAAGGGUAGCGAACCAGCGAUGGUAAGCCAAUCUCUAAAAGUACGUCUCAGUUCGGAUUGAAGUCUGCAACUCGACUUCAUGAAGCUGGAAUCGCUAGUAAUCGUGUAUC